UACAGAGGGUGCGAGCGUUAAUCGGAAUUACUGGGCGUAAAGCGCACGUAGGUGGCGACGUAAGUCGGGUGUGAAAGCCCCGGGCUCAACCUGGGAAUUGCAUUCGAGACUGCAUUGCUGGAGUACGGAAGAGGAGGGCGGAAUUCCCGGUGUAGCGGUGAAAUGCGUAGAUAUCGGGGGGAACAUCAGUGGCGAAGGCGGCCCUCUGGUCCAGUACUGACACUCAAGUGCGAAAGCGUGGGGAGCAAACAGG
rnacentral:rRNA from 1 species